rnacentral:rRNA from 1 species
UACGAAGGGGGCUAGCGUUGUUCGGAAUUACUGGGCGUAAAGCGCACGUAGGCGGAUAUUUAAGUCAGGGGUGAAAUCCCAGAGCUCAACUCUGGAACUGCCUUUGAUACUGGGUAUCUUGAGUAUGGAAGAGGUAAGUGGAAUUGCGAGUGUAGAGGUGAAAUUCGUAGAUAUUCGCAGGAACACCAGUGGCGAAGGCGGCUUACUGGUCCGGUACUGACGCUGAGGUGCGAAAGCGUGG